GCACUGGAUGGGAGUUUUACCGUUAUGUCCCAUUGUUGGAUCUUCAAGGAGAGCGAUGACAGAGAUUCAAACAGUGC
rnacentral:ncRNA from 1 species